rnacentral:rRNA from 1 species
AGGGAAUCUUCCGCAAUGGACGAAAGUCUGAUGGAGCAACGCCGCGUGAGUGAAGAAGGCCUUCGGGUCGUAAAACUCUGUUGUCGGGGAAGAACAAGUGCCGUUCGAACAGGGCGGCGCCUUGACGGUACCCGGCCAGAAAGCCACGGCUAACUACGUGCCAGCAGCCGCGGUAAUACGUAGGUGGCAAGCGUUGUCCGGAAUUAUUGGGCGUAAAGCGCGCGCAGGCGGCUUCUUAAGUCUGAUGUGAAAUCUUGCGGCUCAACCGCAAGCGGUCAUUGGAAACUGGGGGGCUUGAGUGCAGAGGAGGAGAGUGGAAUUCCACGUGUAGCGGUGAAAUGCGUAGAGAUGUGGAGGAACACCAGUGGCGAAGGCGACUCUCUGGUCUGUAACUGACGCUGAGGCGCGAAAGCGUGGGGAGCAAAC